GUCGUGCGGGCACAAAGAGCCAAGCCGCGCGCGCAAAAAGACCGACCCUUUUUUUUAGGCGGCGCGCCGAAAGGAGUGUCGGAUGGCGACGUCACGGCCGACGCCGCAAAGGAAAUCUCCCGCCGCCACGUUCACACGAUAAAAAAAAGAGAUUUGUGCGGCUUCGAGGCUCUGGCCUGCCGCGAGGGCACAACCAAGACGAUCGCACCGCCAACGUGAAAAAAGGCAAGGAGAAAAAAAAAGAAUACAAAGUCGCUACACCGCACCGCCAGAGUGCGCGCGAUGCACUAUCAAACGCCCCUUUUUUGUGAAAGGACGGCAGAAAGAGCGCGACGCAUUUCUUUUUAAAAAAAUCGCUCUUGUUUCUCGGCCUUGUGUUUCCCCUCCCACAUGGGCGUGCAGGGUCGGGUGACACAUUGGACAUCAUCAAAUCGUGCCAUAGGGCGCGGCGAGGGCGCGCGGACCGAGCACCCGGUAGAGGCAGGCAAAGGCGCCGACGGCGGCACCCGCGGCCAUGGAUACGCACAGGACCGUCUCUGCCCCCAGCCCAUCGAUGCCGUCGCGCAUGGCCACCGUCCCCGACGUCUGGUGCUCGUGACAGGUCGACGUGGUGCCCACGGGAUACAGGUUCCAAUAGGCCGGCACCAAGAGGGCACUCAUCCACGAUUGGCCAUACAAGAGGCGAGGGCGCGCCAUUGCCACCUUGCCUGCGCCGCGGCCAUCGACCGAGGCCAGGCGCACGCCGAUGCCGGGCACCUGGGCCAUGCCGCCAUCUUGUUGAAAGCGCGUCUCUAGGAUCGUGUGGUUGAGCACAGUGCAAACCCGUUCGCGGGCGCCAUUGGCGAGUGCCCAUUGCGGACCCAAACGCUCGCCAAACCACGGACCCAGCGCGAUGGCGGCGACCGCCAACGCACCCAGAACCGCCCACACGAGUGCCCAACGGCGCCUGAGACGCGGUACGCACAUGCGCUCUCGGACGGCGCAUCGAAUCACGUCGGCCAUGGGAUCGAUCUCAUCGUCAUCUUUGAGCACGCCGCCACGGGAAGAGCCGCUCUCACUGGAACGGCGCGGUGCCGCGUGCGCGCUGUACGUGCGCGCUUCUUCCUGAUUGCCGUCAACGUCGUCGUUGUCAUCGAGCGAUCGGUUCCAUGUCGCGCCGGCAUCUUGGCGUGUCAUCUCAAUGUCAUCGUCGCUGUGGCCAUCGUUGAUGUCUCGGGCAUGGUUGUCCACGGAUCCGCGCAUUGUCGCCAUUCGGCAUGUUGCCAUCCUUGAUGGCGUCGGCUCGAUACGUCGUGAAUGGCACAGUGCAAUGUGCCAAUGAGGCGCCCAGCACUGGCGACACGCAACGCAAACAAAAGAGCAGGAAAAGGAAAGAGAGAGCGAUUGCCCAGGGCGUGAGGCGACGACACGAGCCAGUCAGCGGGCAGAGGCGAAUAGGGGUUGGCCAGCAGCAAAGGAGAAAAAAAAAGAGAGAAUCGCGUACGGGCCGAGCAGAAAGCGCAGCGGGUGUGUGGCGCCUUGUCAGGCGGCGGCAGCGCGCGGACCGCGACGUUUUCCGUGUCGGCCGUAUGAUUUCCUCCUUUUUUUUGCAUUGGCGCCGGCCCGCACCAAGGCGGACCGGCCUCGACCAACCUACUACUCGCACUAGCGCCAAAGAAAAAAAGAAGGCGGUCAGAGAAACAGGACGGACCCAAGAGCCAAGUCCCUCAUUGACAUGCCUCACGCAAAAUGGCCCUGUCAUCAUUCAUACCAGCGAUAGCGGAUCGCUUAUGGCCUGCCCCCUUUUUUUUCCUCGUCCCUCCGAAUGGGGCUCUGUUUGUCGAUGGUUCGGUGCCCUCCUCUCUUUGCCCCUCGGGUCCCCGAAUCCAAAAAAAAAGCGACAUACUGACAGGCCUGUGUUUGCGAGGCACCAAAAGAGAAAGAGAGAAAAAACGAAACCGACGAGCCCCACGGCACAGACUGUUACCUCUUCUUGUCGGGUGUUGUUGCCAUAGCCGGCGACAGGCAACAGCUGCGUUUUUCACUAAAAGGAAAGGGGAAAAAAGAGCGGGUGAAAGGGGGCCCAAGAG
rnacentral:lncRNA from 1 species